GAUGAACGCUAGCUACAGGCUUAACACAUGCAAGUCGAGGGGAAACGACAUUGAAGCUUGCUUCGAUGGUCGUCGACCGGCGCACGGGUGAGUAACGCGUAUCCAACCUGCCUCUGACCAAGGGAUAACCCGUCGAAAGUCGGCCUAAUACCUUAUGCAGUCGUCGGAAGUCAUCUGAUGACGACGAAAGAUUUCAUCGGUGAGAGAUGGGGAUGCGUCUGAUUAGCUUGUUGGCGGGGUAACGGCCCACCAAGGCAACGAUCAGUAGGGGUUCUGAGAGGAAGGUCCCCCACAUUGGAACUGAGACACGGUCCAAACUCCUACGGGAGGCAGCAGUGAGGAAUAUUGGUCAAUGGGCGAGAGCUUGAACCAGCCAAGUAGCGUGCAGGAUGACGGCCCUAUGGGUUGUAAACUGCUUUUAUGCGGGGAUAAAGUGAGGGACGUGUCCUUCAUUGCAGGUACCGCAUGAAUAAGGACCGGCUAAUUCCGUG
rnacentral:rRNA from 1 species